CCGUAAGAACGAAUAGCGUUAAUGGCCAUUUCUAUUUUUAGCAUUGCUGAAGUUGUUUAAUGGAUAAACCGAUUGACUUGUACCAGUACUGCGAGUGCGAGAUGAAACGGCAGGACAAGCCGGGCAGAGGCAACCCUGAACCCAACCCAUGCACCGGCGCGAGAGCCAGGCCGUGACCACACCGUGGUCCGUCGAGGCAGCAGAACAGCGUCCACUGCACGGGGCGCGUGGCGCAGUAUAAAUAGGUGCGGGGCGAGCAGCACCUCCUCCCCCUUCCUCUUAUAGCAUACGGCCGGCACACCGAUCGAGCUACUACCAGCUAGCUACUGUGACUAACUAGUUAGCUUCCAUCACCUCCAUCAGCUCCGGCCGGGACCUGCUACCGUUCCAACCCCACAGUCCCGCACGCGCGCUCAAGUUUCACAAGCCGCCCGCGCGCGCGGUCAAGCCCGGCCGGCCCGUUACGCCCAUGGCGCCGCCGGCGCGGCAACCGGCCGCACCGCGGCACGUGCCGAGGCGGGGGCAGGUGCUGAGGAGGGCGCUCGCGAGCAUCUUCUCGUGGCUUCUUCCGCGCCGCGGGUGGCUGUUACGGCGCCGCCGCCGCCGCCGCCGCCUUCUUGCCCCGCGCGGCCGCGCCGCGGAGCCACGCGGAGGCCUCGUCGAACCGGACGCCGCGGCGGGUGCUGACAACUCGCUCACGGACGUAGACGACACCCAUGCGCCCAAUUAAUUGGACCUGAUUAGGUAAGCCCACGGGCCGAUCGUGCCGGUUUGGUCAACGGGUCAACUGGUGAAUCGGAACCGUUGGAGGGUGUACGUGGGGUGCUGCACUGCGCACUGCGCACCGUUGCCUCCGGCAUCUCCUCUGGACUAGUCAACUUAGUCAACUUAUUAUUGUUUCAUUGGUUAUUGCUAGGAUGCUUGUACUGGAUCACCUCGAAGACAAAAAUAAAAAAUAAAAUAGAUGGAUCGAUAUAGACAGGAUGUUGUUGUAACACGUGCUUAGUUUGCAAGUAAGUGGAUCAUUCAAAAAGUUUGGAAGUAAGUGGUCAUUCGUUCUUGAUAGACUCAAUUCCUGAGUUCCGUCACGAUAUUGAAUAAAAAUGUCGCUCCUCGUAUUCAGUCA